rnacentral:lncRNA from 1 species
CCAAGGUAGUUACAAUUGAGAAGCUGAAGGCAUGCUCAGCUUCUAUUGGUCUUUCACACUGAAGACGGAAUUAAGAUCCUGCUUGAUUGAGCUAUGAUAUAUGUUGAGGCUCAUGUUCACAAGCAUUAUGCUUAAGAUGAAGACGUUGUUUGAAGAGUUUUUGAUCACAUCUCCAAGUGGGAGAUUUGUUAAGCAGUGGAGCCGUAUCCAACUCCAUCCUACUAAUCUUUCAUGCCACGUGUCGCCAUGCCAUUGAAAUC